AUACUUACCUGGCAGAGGAAACACAGUGAUCGCAAAGGUGGUUUUCCCAGGGUGAGGCUCAGCCCCUGCACUGGGGAUCUGCUGACCCCUAUGAUUUCCCCACAUGGGGGAAACGUGUGACUGCAUCAUUUGUGUUGGUGGGGAGUUGUAUUCACACUCUCCCCC
rnacentral:snRNA from 1 species